AUGCACAAGACGAGGGCCGUUGACUUCCUCGGCCGCCGCACCCCCAUCGUCUACCAGAANNNNNNNNNNNNNNNNNNNNNNNNNNNNNNNNGUAACGUGCUGCUGCUGAAGAACGUGAUCAGCCUGAACCCGGAUGCGGGCGAGGUGUCGCAGCAGAAGCUGCUGUCCCUCGUCGCCGACCGCCUCAUUGACUCCAACAGCAGUGCGCAGGGCAGGGACGAGGAGUACGCCCGCAACUGGGAGCACAACAUCUCGGACGCGAUAGACCUUCUACCGCGCCUCACGACUGGCAUCGAUGUGAAUGUCAUGUUCAGAAAGGUUGAUGACUUUGAGUUCACCCCAGAGCGCGCCAUAUUUGACCUUCUGGAUAUUCCAUUAUACCAUGGGUGGAUAGUCGAUCCUCAGGAUACUGACACUGCUAGUGCCAUUGGAUCAAAGUCAUACAAUGCUCUUGCUUCUGGGCUUGCUGAAUUUAAGUCAGAGAAACCAGCAGAAGAUGAUAAACAUGUUGCAGAGGAAGAAACUGUUGAUUUUGCUGCUGCAACAGCAGCAGCAUUAGGGGUUCCGUCACCUACUGUUUCUCUAGGGAUAUCAUUUGAUGAAAGUACACUCUCAGAUUCAGCUGAACUGCAAAUGAGACGAGGCGACCGUGAGGAAGACGAGGAACUAAGGAGAGUCCUUAGUCUAUCCAAAGCUGAAAGCACGAAUGUUGUUGAUGGAUCUGUUUCCUUCAGCACUUCGCAGAGUCAUUCAUCCUCCAAUAUAGAGGAUACACCACGUAGUGAGAGCUUUGUAUUAGAGGCACCUGAGGUGGUAGGACCGUCAAAUAAAGAGGAAGGUAGUCAUGAUUCUACAUUACAGAACACAAAUUCUGAUGCUAAUGUUAGUGAAGUUGCGUCUUCAGAAUCUGAACAAGCUUUGACCUCCAAAGAAACAGAGGAAGAUGGGAAAAGGGAUAUGUUAGUAGAGCACCUUGAUAUACCUGUUCAAUCUUCAGAAUCUACUGUUGCCUGCCCUUCUCAUGAAUCUUCUGUUCUCGAUGGCGAAGCUUCUGCUCCUGCUCCUGACCUCGCUGAAGCUAGUAAAGAAACCUGCAGAGAAUAUUCUACCAUGCAAAUUCAUGACACUCAGGCUUCUGAUGCUGCCCCUCAGGUUUCUGAUACUGAGAACAGCUGUGACUCGGCAACUGUAACUGGUCAAGCUACUCCUAUGGGUGCUACACCUCAGGCUUCUGAUACUGCCCCUCAGGUUUCUGAUACUGAGAACAGCUGUGACUCAGCAACUGUAACUAGUCAAGCUACUCCUAUGGGUGCUAUACCUGAGCAGGAUGAGAAAGUUGUUUCUCUAGACACUGCUGUGCUUGCCUCUUCAAACAUUCAGGGGAACGAGCCAAUCUAUCAAGGAGAAGAGCACAUACUUGGCAGUGGAAACAUGACAUUUCAAACUGAGGAGCCAGUGUAUGAGGGUGAGGUGGUUCUUGCUGAGCAGGCUGACAAGAUAGGGGAAAGUAGUCAAUGCUUGAAAAAUGGAGCUGCAGAUCAUCAAUGGGACCUGAUUGAUAAUUUUCUACAGAGCACUGCUAACCAGCUGACUGUCUAUGGUUUGUUUUGUCUACAAGAGGGUCUCAAGGAAAGAGAGCUUUGUGUCUUCUUCCGCAAUAACCACUUCAACAGUAUGUUCAAGUAUAACGGAAGUCUAUAUCUCUUAGCAACUGAUCAGGGUUUUUUCAGCCAAACUGAUUUGGUAUGGCAAAAGUUGGAUGAGGUGAAUGGAGAUGGGGUUUUUGUCACUAGUAACUUCACACCAUUUACGGCUGAAACUCCCAGAAAUGAUUCAUGGAAUCAACAGCAGGCCAUGACGACUACUGCUGACUAUAUUGCUCAAUUUGACAAUUCCACUAUGCCGAACUCAUCUGGAGACUCGGAUUUAGAGCUAGCUAUCGCACUUCAACAACAGGAGUUUGAGCGACAGCAGCCUCCACCAGAACAGCAGCAGCCUCAACAACAACAACAACAGCAGCAACAGACGCAAACACACCAGACACCCAAUCAAUCAUCAAGCCGGCCAGGACUUGUUGUUGGCCCAAGGCAGAGGUCAAAUGUCCCACCGCCUGCAAGAACCGAGUCGAAGAAAGAGAAGUGCAUUGUAAUGUAA
rnacentral:rRNA from 1 species